CGCGUAGGCGGUUUGGACAGUCAGGCGUGAAAUUCCUGGGCUUAACCCGGGGGCUGCGCUUGAUACAUCCAGGCUUGAGUGGGGAAGAGGGUCGUGGAAUUCCCAGUGUAGAGGUGAAAUUCGUAGAUAUUGGGAAGAACACCGGUGGCGAAGGCGGCGACCUGGUCCUUUACUGACGCUGAGGCGCGAAAGCGUGGGGAGCAAACAGGAUUAGAUACCCUGGUAGUCCACGCUGUAAACGAUGUGUGCUGGAUGUUGGGUGACCUAGUCACUCAGUGUCGUAGCUAACGCGGUAAGCACACCGCCUGGGGAGUACGGCCGCAAGGUUGAA
rnacentral:rRNA from 1 species